rnacentral:rRNA from 1 species
AUUGAACGCUGGCGGCAGGCCUAACACAUGCAAGUCGAACGGUAGCACAGAGAGCUUGCUCUUGGGUGACGAGUGGCGGACGGGUGAGUAAUGUCUGGGAAACUGCCUGAUGGAGGGGGAUAACUACUGGAAACGGUAGCUAAUACCGCAUAACGUCGCAAGACCAAAGAGGGGGACCUUCAGGCCUCUUGCCAUCAGAUGUGCCCAGAUGGGAUUAGCUAGUAGGUGGGGUAAUGGCUCACCUAGGCGACGAUCCCUAGCUGGUCUGAGAGGAUGACCAGCCACACUGGAACUGAGACACGGUCCAGACUCCUACGGGAGGCAGCAGUGGGGAAUAUUGCACAAUGGGCGCAAGCCUGAUGCAGCCAUGCCGCGUGUAUGAAGAAGGCCUUCGGGUUGUAAAGUACUUUCAGCGAGGAGGAAGGCAAUACGGUUAAUAACCGUGUUGAUUGACGUUACUCGCAGAAGAAGCACCGGCUAACUCCGUGCCAGCAGCCGCGGUAAAAC